rnacentral:lncRNA from 1 species
UAGUUUUAGAAGCUGGGAAGGAUAGAGUCAGCAAGAAUUUCUUCUUGUAGAUGACUGGUACUUCACUGUCUUCUUGCGGUCUUCUGUGUCUUAACAUCUCCUCCACUCGUCCCUCCCCCCCUUUCCUUUUUUCCCUUAUGAUACGCUGAGAUGCAUCGCCAGCUCUGUCUUCUCAAAGAUGCCAGGUCAUUAGACUCAGACUCACUGUGGAGACCUCAUUUGCCUCUUGAAAGACUCCCCAAAUGCGGUGAUAUUUCAGAUACUGGGGCUUAGAACUUUACCAGCAAUUUGAGGAAACACAACUGUCCAUAGGAGGCAAACUGGCUGUUCCUUACACGUGGGGCAAAGCUCCCAUCUGAGCUCUCUUCCCUCUUGUCAUUUAUUUCUUAGAACCUGGGUCCCAGGGUUCUACUUCCAUGACUAUAAUUUCCCAUUUGCUCAUUAUGUCCUUCAGCAGCCUCUCAGGGCUGGGAGGGUGUAACAGCCGAGCCACAGAAGUGGAUCUGUUUGCUUCUCUGCUCCUGUCCUUUGAUGAGCAGUAGGUAGGCACUUUUCAGAGUCCUAGUUCAUGGUGUUCAGACGGUUGCUGUUGGCUGUUGAAACCCUGUCUCCUAAUCUCAGAUCUUUGGGACCUGUAAUUCUUCUCUUGAAGUCUUAGGGUCUUUAUCUCACAUGUCAUAGUGUAUUUUCUAUCCACCAUGACAUAUACCAGCUGAGUCCUUUCAAUAUGGCAAAUUGUAAGAAGUUUUUAUUUAAUGCUAUUAUAUUAGCAUUAAUCCCUAACCCUAGUGCAGCUUCUAGUAGGAUGUUGGACUUCUUUCCUGAAAUUACAUCUGAUUUAAUUAUCUGUUUUUAUUUUUAUUUAACCUUUUCGUGUUACUAUCUAGCACUUUUCUUCUGAUACAUUGGGGUUGUAGAUGCUGGGAUUGACCAGGGCCUUGAGCAUGCCAGGCAUGUACUCUGUAAUUGAGCUGUGCCUCCAGCCUUCUUCAGACCUAUAUAUGUCAUUUGUAUAAACAUAAUAAAAAUACAAAAG